rnacentral:rRNA from 1 species
UACAGGGGGUGCAAACGUUGCUCGGAAUCAUUGGGCGUAAAGCGCACGUAGGCGGUUCGUUAUGUUGGAUGUGAAAGCCCUUGGCUUAACCGAGGAAGUGCAUCCGAAACUGGCGAGCUAGAGUACGAAAGAGGAUCGCGGAAUUCCCGGUGUAGAGGUGAAAUUCGUAGAUAUCGGGAGGAACACCGGUGGCGAAGGCGGCGAUCUGGGUCGAUACUGACGCUGAGGUGCGAAAGCGUGGGGAGCAAACAGG